rnacentral:rRNA from 1 species
GAUGAACGCUGGCGGCGUGCCUAAUACAUGCAAGUCGAGCGAACGGACGAGAAGCUUGCUUCUCUGAUGUUAGCGGCGGACGGGUGAGUAACACGUGGAUAACCUACCUAUAAGACUGGGAUAACUUCGGGAAACCGGAGCUAAUACCGGAUAAUAUUUUGAACCGCACGGUUCAAAAGUGAAAGUCGGUCUUGCUGUCACUUAUAGAUGGAUCCGCGCUGCAUUAGCUAGUUGGUAAGGUAACGGCUUACCAAGGCAACGAUGCAUAGCCGACCUGAGAGGGUGAUCGGCCACACUGGAACUGAGACACGGUCCAGACUCCUACGGGAGGCAGCAGUAGGGAAUCUUCCGCAAAGGGCGAAAGCCUGACGGAGCAACGCCGCGUGAGUGAUGAAGGUCUUCGGAUCGUAAAACUCUGUUAUUAGGGAAGAACAUAUGUGUAAGUAACUGUGCACAUCUUGACGGUACCUAAUCAGAAAGCCACGGCUAACUACGUG